GCUAGGUCAGAAAUUAUUUUCAUGUGCAGUUUACAAUCAUGAAUAUCUUCCAAAGCUCAAUGUUAGAAAAGUUUGUUUUCUUAUUAGGCCACAGCAAUGAUUAUGCUAGCUAGAAGGCAACGAUGAGUUCUACUGGAAUGAUACACGGAGAGGUAUCUCUUGUCAUAAUUUGACCUUUUUAUAUAGUUGUUCACAAUCUGACAUUCAGGUUUGAGAAGUAUAUCCAGAAAAAGAUCAAUCAUUGUUGCGAGGGCAGAGAUGCUUUGCAAAUGUUUUUGUGUAGGGGAGUCAGGCAGCGAAUCUGGAUUGGGUGGGUCGAGCCGGAGAUCAUCAGGCUAGAUGGACUUCAACAGUACAGGGAAACACCAGACAUCUUCUAACCACCCAUUUCUCUUAUUAUCAUCCUUUUCAAUCGGGCAUAUUAACAUAGUGAUCCAGGGAUACUGGAAAAUCCCAAGGAAACUUUUACAGUUCGUUGUCACUGUAAAAACACGGUCAUCUCCCAGCCAAACAUACACUGCACUGUGCACAUACAACGCGCCCAAAGUAAUGAUUUUUGUUGUGAGUUGCAUUCUAUUUCGCAACCCGGCCUCUUGACGUUGGCACUGACCUCUUUGGAACUUCUCUCUCCCACUAUUAUGUGGCCUUCUCUCUCUGCCGACCGAUAAACCGUUUCUCUCUUCAGUAUUUCAGGAUUAGCAACAUUUCUCUGGUACCAGGGUGGCACUCGACUUCACUGAGACACCUUCAAAGUUCAAACCUCUUUUGACUUAAGUCACUUAUUUUCGAAGGGGAGUUGCAGGGAAAACCCUUGCUAGUUUCCAUGAGCAGUUCGACUGCCAAUUCAGGUCAUAAUUGCUUCAGUAAUUAUUCUCAUCGUGCUUAUGCAGGAGCUGGGAUUCCUUGCCAAAUUGCAUUCUCAAAUGUGGGAAUCAGGGGAUAUUUUUGAUACCUGUGGCAAGGGAAACAUCUGGAAAGUUGCUUCUUGCAGAGAAACAUCCCUUCCGAGGAAAACUCCAUGGCUCUAUUGGUUGGGUUAAGUGUAAGUUUCAAGUCUCUUAAAAAUUUGUUUGGCUAUUCAAAAUGCUGCCAAGACAACAAUGAGGUACAUUCUAUCGUGUAAUAGCAUUUAAUACGAACUUGAGUUUUGUAUUCU